rnacentral:rRNA from 1 species
GGAGUUAGCCGGUGCUUCUUCUGUGAGUGAUGUCCUUCCUGCCGGCUAUUAACCCGCAGGCCUUCUUCCUCACUGAAAGUGCUUUACAACCCGAAGGCCUUCUUCACACACGCGGCAUGGCUGGAUCAGGGUUGCCCCCAUUGUCCAAUAUUCCCCACUGCUGCCUCCCGUAGGAGUCUGGGCCGUGUCUCAGUCCCAGUGUGGCUGAUCAUCCUCUCAGACCAGCUACGGAUCGUCGCCUUGGUGAGCCGUUACCUCACCAACCAGCUAAUCCGACAUAGGCUCAUCCGAUAGCGCGAGGCCCGAAGGUCCCCCGCUUUCCCCCGUAGGGCGUAUGCGGUAUUAGCCUGGGUUUCCCCAGGUUAUCCCCCACUACCGGGCAGAUUCCUAUGCAUUACUCACCCGUCCGCCGCUCGCCACCAGGGAGCAAGCUCCCCGUGCUGCCGCUCGACUUGCAUGUGUUAGGCCUGCCGCCAGCGUUCAAUCUGAGCCAGNACAACACUNANAGNGCGGCG